AUCAGGCCUCCCUCGGCCACAGCACAGGCCCAGACAGACACACACGGACCCAUCCACAGCACAGACACACACGGACCCAUCCACAGCACAGACACACACGGACCCAUCCACAGCACAGACACAGACACACACAGACCCAUCCACAGCACAGGCCCAUACACACACGGACCCAUACACACACGGACCCAUCCACAGCACAGACACACACGGACCCAUCCACAGCACAGGCCCAUACACACACAGACCCAUCCACAGCACAGGUACACACACACACGGACCCAUCCACAGCCCAUCCACAGCACGGACCCAUCCACAGCACAGACACACGGACCCAUCCACAGCACAGGCACAGACACACACGGACCCAUCCACAGUAAGACCUAUGAGGCUGAUGAGAAAAGACAACCAGAAUGGGGAAUAAUGCCUAACCUCAGUUUCCCCUA
ensembl:lncRNA